rnacentral:rRNA from 1 species
UCCUACGGGGCGCAGCAGUCGGGAAUAUUGCGCAAUGGAGGAAACUCUGACGCAGUGACGCCGCGUAUGGGAAGAAGGUUUUCGGAUUGUAAACCAUUGUCGUUAGGGAAGAAGAAGUGACAGUACCUAAGGAGGAAGCUCCGGCUAACUAUGUGCCAGCAGCCGCGGUAAUACAUAGGGAGCGAGCGUUAUCCGGAUUUACUGGGUGUAAAGGGAGCGUAGACGGCAGGGCAAGUCUGGAGUGAAAGCCCGGGGCCCAACCCCGGGACUGCUUUGGAAACUGCCAUGCUGGAGUGCUGGAGAGG